GACGAACGCUGGCGGCGUGCUUAACACAUGCAAGUGGAGUGACGAACCAGGGCUUGCCCUGGGGCAGAGCCGCGAACGGGUGAGUAACACGUGGGUUACCUGCCUCGAUGACCGGGACAACCCGAGGAAACUCGGGCUAAUACCGGAUGUGCCCGCAAGGGGAAAGGAAGCUUCGGCCUCCGCAUCGAGAUGGGCCCGCGGCCCAUUAGCUUGUUGGUGAGGUAAUGGCUCACCAAGGCUUCGAUGGGUAGCUGGUCUGAGAGGACGAUCAGCCACACUGGGACUGAGACACGGCCCAGACUCCUACGGGAGGCGGCAGUGGGGAAUCUUGCGCAAUGCGCGAAAGCGUGACGCAGCAACGCCGCGUGGGGGAAGAAGGCUUUCGGGUUGUAAACCCCUUUCAGUUGGGACGAAGCUUCGGCGGUUAAUAGCCGUUCGGAGUGACGGUACCUUCACAAGAAGCACCGGCUAACUACGUGCCAGCAGCCGCCGCCGUAA
rnacentral:rRNA from 1 species